rnacentral:rRNA from 1 species
GAACCUGCGGAAGGAUCAUAG